UACGUAGGGUGCGAGCGUUAAUCGGAAUUACUGGGCGUAAAGCGUGCGCAGGCGGUUCGUUGUGUCUGAUGUGAAAGCCCUGGGCUCAACCUGGGAAUUGCAUUGGAUACUGGCAGGCUAGAGUGCGGUAGAGGAUGGCGGAAUUCCACGUGUAGCGGUGAAAUGCGUAGAGAUGUGGAGGAACACCGAUGGCGAAGGCAGCCUCCUGGGCCAAUACUGACGCUCAUGCACGAAAGCGUGGGGAGCAAACAGG
rnacentral:rRNA from 1 species